rnacentral:pre_miRNA from 1 species
CGAGGCUGUGGUUCUGCAUCUCCGUGCCACUCACUCUUAUUGGAGGCUUGCUAGGCACACGGGCUGCAGGCAUAGAAUUCCCUGU